AGGAGGCUGCUAUCGGAGCUGG
rnacentral:misc_RNA from 1 species